AUGGAUAACAAAUGUUAUAAUUGUAAUAGUAUUAUAUUAUUACCUUCCGUGUUCUUCUUCUUCAGUUCCAUAAACUCGAACAGUUCUAAUAAGAGAGAAUGUCUCUUGAGCUACCUAUGAUUUAAUAUUGAGAAAAUUGUUAUUAUCAUGACAAUUGGGAAAAAAAUAAAACAAAUUAUUAUAGUAUAAGGCAUCUUAUUCUACAUUAUUAGCAGAAGCAGUGACUUCUUGGAUCAACCUUGCUGCCUUCUUCUGAAGUACCAUCCAUAACGUAACAUGACCGCUGCUAAUAUGGAGCAUAUCACC
rnacentral:lncRNA from 1 species